rnacentral:pre_miRNA from 1 species
CCAAGUGAAUGAGUGAAGCUGCCAGCAUGAUCUAGCUUUGAGUGGUCAGGAGUUGUUUGUAGAAAGAGUGGAAAGGGGUGUGUGUGCAUGUGUUUGUGCGCGUGUAGGAGUUUGUGUGUGUGUGUGUGUGUGUGUGUGUGUGUGUGUGUGAGAGAGAGAGAGAGAGAGAGAGAGAGAGAGAGAGAGAGAAUGAGAGAGAUGAGAGAGGUGUGUCACGCAUGGGAAACGAAAGAAAACCAAUUCAUGGCUAGGUCAUGCUGUGACAGCUUCACUUGUUCCCUAU